rnacentral:lncRNA from 10 species
UCUCAAAAAAAAAAGAAAGAAAGAAAAGAAAGAGAAAGGAAGGAAGGAAGGAAAGAAGAGAAAAGGGAACCAUAUUGCAGUGACCACAUUCAUCAGGAAUAUUCGGGGAUCCGUGGAUCAGGAUAUGAAGCUUUUCUCCUAAAGGGGACAACAGAAAAUUCGUCUUGAGGAAAAUAGUGUGGGGAGUAGGAGUUUGGCUUCUGUCCUCUAAAACUUGCCUGAGAGGGUGGACCUCAUGGGCGUUUCCACAGGGUGGCUUAUGGGGCUUUGCUGUUACCUGCUGAAUCACCCUCCCACAUCCUGGCCUGCCUGCCUGUUCCCCGCCGGGAGUGUCUGCCGGUGACCACACUUACUCAGGGAAAGAUGAAGUCACCACCUGCAUGAGUUUCAGGAUGGCCAGAGAAUGGCCCCUUCAGAUAGACUGGAGCCACCCUGGGGAGGGGGAAUGAAGAAAGAAAAGGAAACCAAGGUAUUGACAGGAAAACCAGCUUCUACUUUCUCCUACGUCUUUGAUGUCACUGUGGAGCAACCAUGAGACUUUCCCUGUUGUCAUUUGUCAAUUCGUCCUUCCCCAAGCCAAGGCAGUUUACUAACGUCUAGACUCAUUAAAGUGGAUGAGAUUUUGUUUCCAAAUCCUGGACAGUGCUAAUGUAAAUGCUUGUUUAUCCAUGGUGGUGCAGAAUGAAGGAAGUCCAUGCUCUGCACAAGUAAAGCGAUGUGUCAUGUCAUAUUGCCAAAAGGUUGCAUCAUUUCUAAACUUUCCGGAAGACUGGAUGGGCAAGAGGUCAUCUAUGUUUAUUUUGUGAAGUUUGCCCUACCAGGAAAUGUGUGGGUACAAGAGAUAUUUUGGGCCCAUGAGACUCUCACUUUAGAUGCUUAAUCCAGCAGCAUGUGCUAUAAGCUUCAGUCUCUAACUACAUCUUUAAAAAGAGUGGCAAGUUGUGAAGUAUGCAAGGUUUUUUGGCUGCACUGACAGAGCCACGUAUAAAAUCCUGUUGCCAAGCAGAGACUAGAACCAGAUGACAAAGACUGAAAACACACGCCAUGUAUUGACUUUCCUAUAAAAUACUCAUUACAACCUAAUCCAGUCAUACUCAUUUCUAGAAGAAUUACAUAAUCAGUCAGCAAUCCAUAUUAAUUAAAGUUGUAAAUUGAC